GCUGUAAUGAUGAUAUCCAUGCGUGUCAGCUGACUUUAGGACACCGUGCUGUGGUGGUGCUCAGGCCAGUGUUCUGCUGACUGAGCUUUCACAACAACAUGGACCUAAAGGCGUGAUCAUACAUUCAUGGUUCUGAGCACAGC